rnacentral:rRNA from 1 species
AGUCGCCUACGGGACGCAGCAGUAGGGAAUCUUCCACAAUGGACGAAAGUCUGAUGGAGCAACGCCGCGUGAGUGAAGAAGGGUUUCGGCUCGUAAAGCUCUGUUGGUAGUGAAGAAAGAUAGAGGUAGUAACUGGCCUUUAUUUGACGGUAAUUACUUAGAAAGUCACGGCUAACUACGUGCCAGCAGCCGCGGUAAUACGUAGGUGGCAAGCGUUGUCCGGAUUUACUGGGUGUAAAGGGAGCGUAGACGGCCAGACAAGUCUGAAGUGAAAAUC